rnacentral:ncRNA from 2 species
AUAGAAGUAGUAAGAACAAUGAAACUUUCAGAGAGCUAAAGGAUGGUGUGAUUUAGUAGUUGAUAGUUCUGAACUUGUCUAGGAGCUGUUUUCUAAGAUUUAAAUCUUAGAAUAAUCGGAGUAAUUCCACGUUAUAGGAAAUAUAGUCAUUAUAAUUAUUGUAUUGGCUAUUACUAAGGGAGCUUUUUAGAAAGCUAAAUAGAGUGGUACCGCGAGCAAAACCUCGUCUCUAAUUUUAUUAGAGAUGAGGUUUUUUUUAUUCU